CGCGGUGAAUACGUUCCCGAACCUUGUACACACCGCCCGUCAAGCCAUGGAAGUCAGGGGGACCUGAAGCCGGUAACCGCAAGGAGCCGGUCAGGGUUAAACUGGUAACUGGGGCU
rnacentral:rRNA from 1 species